rnacentral:tRNA from 1 species
GGCAGUGUGGCUCAGUGGAAAGAGCCUGGGCUUUGGAGUCAGAGGUCAUGAGUUCGAAUCCCAGCUUUGCCA